UAAGACAGAGGGGGCAAGCGUUGUCCGGAUUGACUGGGCGUACAGCGCGCGCAGGCGGCGAGGUAUGUGCUUGGUGACAUCCCACGGCUCAACCGUGGGCGGCCCAGGUAGACAGCCUGGCUGGAGGCAGGGAGAGGGUCGUGGAAUGCCCGGUGGAGCGGUGAAAUGCGUAGAGAUCGGGCGGAACACCAGCGGCGAAGGCGGCGACCUGGCCCUGUACUGACGCUGAGGCGCGAGAGCGUGGGGAGCGAACGGGAUUAGAUACCCCGGUAGUCCACGCCGUAAACGAUGUGGAGCCGGUGUUGGGGGGUGAUUGCGCCCCGCAGUGCCCAAGCUUACGCGAUGACUCCACCGCCUGGGAACUACGGCCGCAAGGCUA
rnacentral:rRNA from 1 species